CUCGACCUCAACGCACCUUAUCC
rnacentral:siRNA from 1 species